UACAGAGGGGGCAAGCGUUGUUCGGAAUUACUGGGCGUAAAGGGCGCGUAGGCGGCCUUCUAAGUCGAACGUGAAAUCCCUGGGCUCAACCCAGGAACUGCGUCCGAUACUGGAAGGCUUGAAUCCGGGAGAGGGAUGCGGAAUUCCAGGUGUAGCGGUGAAAUGCGUAGAUAUCUGGAGGAACACCGGUGGCGAAGGCGGCAUCCUGGACCGGUAUUGACGCUGAGGCGCGAAAGCUAGGGUAGCAAACGGG
rnacentral:rRNA from 1 species